ensembl:lncRNA
AUAUGUUAUGCAGACCACUUCCCAAAUGCUAUAUACCCUUUCUUUAGCAGUUAUUAGAUAGCAUAAGAAAGGAUAAAAAAGCUUCUUAUGUGUGGGAAACAGGUACUAAGUUCUUCAUUAAGGGCUGGUGUGUCUGCUCUCCUGGGUCUACUGCAAGUAGCUGUGCUGUUUACCAUGAGAAUGUGGCUUAGAGUGCCCUGCUGCUGAGUGGAGUCAUCUUUUGCAAAGGCGAGCACAAGUGAAGAGAUCUCAUACUGAUGUGUUUUGUUGGUUUUUUUUAAGAACAUUUUUUGUGUUUUCAAAGAAGUAAUUGACUCUCUGUUACUUGUUACUGAGGUGAACGUCUUGCUUUGGUCUGCCAGGUUCCUAGCCCCUUCACUGCAAUUCUGUUGCUUUGUGUGGUCUGACUGCCUAAAUUUAGACAGCUUGCUUUUAAAGCCCAUUUGAAAUUAAACAUUUGUUUUGGAAAUAGUGGGUCUCAGAGAAGAUAAGUCUAAAUCUUCCUAUUUUUUUCCCCAGAUCUCAACAACGUUCAGUGGAGCUUUCUGUCUUAACUUAAAAGUAACUGCAGGCCAACCCCAAAUCUUCCAAAUGAACAUGUUGCUGCCAGUAUGUUAUAUAGCAUUUGCUUUCUUAAGGGCCUUUCUUACACUUAGUUUGGGUAUUCAGAAAGUUAUAUAUGGAUGUGGGGGCUAUGCCAUCAGGGUUACAUUUAAAAUGGGAAGGUUUACUAUAUAAUUUGACUUGCUCUUGCCUCUCAGCUAUGUUGUUGUUAUCAGCUAGUCUGACUAGAUAUUUUUAUUUUACCCUGUUCAAAUAGCAUCUUCAUGUAUUAAGUUUACUCAUUCUGAUUUUACAUUGAGGAUCUUGUCAAUAAAUAGAUUUCUAUGAGGAAGAUAUUAUCUAGGGAAAAUAUUUUAGAUGAGUGACGGAUUUAAAUUGUAUUUCCUAGGUUCAUAAGCAGAUUCAAAUUAAAGGAAAUCUUUAAACCACAAGAAAUGCUUUCUGUUAAGUUUUAUCCUGCUGGUGAAAUUCUGGAGGAGUUGAUAAAAAGCAGUAUUUAAAAAGCUGAAAAGGCCAAUGUGUGUGAAUAUAGGCUGGUGGCUUGACAUUGAGCCCAAAGCUGGAUGCUGGAAAGAUGUUCCAGAUGCAAUCAAUGAAAGAAUUAAAGGAAUAUAGUUUACACUAAUCAAGAGCAUUUUGUGAGAAACUGUUAUGGUGAAGCAAAUAUGAAAUCUAUUCUAACAAGGUUAGAAGUUUAAUCACUGAAAUUAACUUCAGGUAGUGGGGCUGCAAAAUCAUUUGGAGUGCUUAAAGUGCCAUGAAAAAGGACGUAAUGUGGUGUUUAAAUCAAGACUAGUCUGUUUAGGAGCUAGCAUAGUACAGUUCAAACACACGUCGGUCUUGGAUGUCAGGGAGGGAAGCCCUGAGGCUGCCAGUGUUGGUGAGGUACAGCCUGUUCUGCCCUUCACAUCUCAGAGGUGAGCUGAGUAUAUAGAAAAGUACAUAGAGUUAAAAAUGUUGAUGCUAAAUUGUUUGGCACUGUUUUCAGGAAAGCAUGUGUGGGGGGAAAAAAAACUGGACUGGAGACAAAACAAGAGGGUCCUAAGUAAGAAAAGCAUAAAGAUAUCUCCUUUUGUAGUGUCACUGUGGAUGAGGAGCAGUGUGUGCACAGGAAUUCCAGGGCAGAUCUGGUUGGCCAUCCUUACCCACAGGUGAUGUUGCACUGGAAAUCAACACCAGGCUCUGACUUGUCAGCAGGACUCUGGGGGAAGCUAGCUGAGGUUUGCUCAGGGGAGUCUAUCUCCCCCUAAGCUGAAGAAUCUGACACAUUUGGGCUGUGAAUUAUAUGAAGUGCCCAGCCUGUGUGUGGUAAGCAACAUAUCUUUGACUGAUAGCAUGCACUGUGUGUGGUGUUGUCUUGCUGGGAAAACAACAUCAGGCUUCCUCGUUCCUACUGAGGUGUCCUUUUCACGGGACCUUCACUGAAGUGAGACCAAGUCCUGAUUUAAACACGUCAGCAGCUCCUUGAUUACAGUGUCUCCUUACUAGUGCUAUGAGUAUGAUCAGCCCUUGAUCAAGUGGGAUGACUUAGGCGUGCUGGUGUUGCAAGAGGGCAUCACGCUCCCUUGCAGGUGUGGCGAAAGAGGUGCGGACUCCUUCGCUGGUGCAGAACAAGAGGGUUUAUUGUAGGUGCUCAGAGCCUUAUAUACCCAUGCAACACAACAGUUUUCACACGCAACCAAGACUGGUUACAUGUAAGGGCUGGGCGCCUUGUGGGUGCUUACAUCUGGCUCAAGUUAUCAUCGAGCUUUACCACUCAUUAGCAAUACAAUGACCUUCCUUAUCCCACAUGCUGGGGGUGGUUUGAGGAUCCCAGGGAGAUAAUUUCCCCCUUUCUACAGUUAUAUUUAAAUGCACAGUUGUAAUCUAGAACAAUAUUUAAUCCUUGGGUGUUUCUCCUUUAUGCCUGUUUUUCUAGCAUAGCACCCAUCAUUUGGCUCAAACACGAAGGCACUGGUCCAAAUAAUUUUUUAAAAAGUCAUUUAGAAGAACUAACUCAAGAUGAGGCAGCUAUGACAAUUUGGGUAGCAAGCUACAUUUUUGGUACAGGGAGAAAAAUAACUGUUUCCUCCCUUUCUAGGGUUUCUCAUAGCUUUAAACUAUGGGUCUGACUUAACUGUGCUUGCAUUUCUUGUGUAAAGUGGUGUCUGAGCUGAUUUUCAUAACUGGUGUUAGGGUAACCAAUACUGAGUUUGUCUUUUAUCACCAAGUCUGGAAGUUUGUUUUCUUUGCAAGAGGUGGAUGAAAUAUGAUUUCAAGUAGUUUUAUAGGGAUUCAUCACAAAUAUUUAAUGACCAAACUGCGUUUCAUUGAUGAGAAGACUCAGAGAAAUAAUCACUUUUAGGUGCUAAUCUAUAUAAUUAAUGCUUUAAAAUUGCAGAUAAUUCUACAAUAGAGGAAAUCUUUUAUACUCUAUACCAUUAUAAAUAAAAGUAAAAGAUAGAAGCCAAAUAGUAAAUUAGCUUUGGAAACACAUAUUGAAGGAACUACCACAAUCAAGUCAGAAUAGCUUUUCCUUUUCAGAAGAUAGUCACUCCAUCAGUUCCCUUGGUGAGUCAUUUAAAUCAGAAAUGAGGUAAAUUUGUGAACUUCAGAUGAAAUAGGCCAUUUAUAAAGCACAAUGAUUUCAGUGGCAGGGGAAGAAAGUGUUCAUUAAGGGCUAAAUAUCUUGCAGGAGUGUUAUUGAAUAAAUUUAGUCUGUCCAAGAAGAGUGUAUUUUAUGUCAGACGUGCUGAAACCAGGUCUGAUUAAGAUUUUGCAGAAUAUCUGAGUGCCUCAAAUACUACUGAGUAAACAUGAAGGCCAUCUUAAUUCUAUGUCACGUGUAGGGGAACAAAAUAAAUCUGUUAUAAAGAUACUUUGAAAGUAAAAACAAGUGGGGAGGGAAAAGAUUUGCACAGUCCUUCCAUCUAUGUCUGCGAUCACAGGUAUGAAACAGAGUAACAGCUUGCAUGGGAUGGGAAGGUUGGCAAUAGACAAUAGGAAAGG